rnacentral:rRNA from 1 species
UACGUAGGGGGCGAGCGUUGUCCGGAGUUACUGGGCGUAAAGGGCAUGCAGGCGGUCGGACACGUUUCGGGUGACAGCGGGUGGCUUAACUACCCGAGUGGUCGAAAGACGGUUUGACUUGAGGACGCGAGAGGGACACGGAAUUCCGGGUGGAGUGGUGAAAUGCGUAGAGAUCCGGAGGAACACCGAAGGCGAAGGCAGUGUCCUGGCGCGUAACUGACGCUGAGGUGCGAAAGCCAGGGGAGCGAACGGG